AGUAAAUAUAAAGCAGACUUCAAGCUUUACAGACAUUUACUAUUUCAAUUAUGGAAAGCUAUAUCAAAUUACUGUUCUUUUUCCUCAUAAUAGUUGUCGUUGUUCCGAAUGAUGUGGACGGUUAUUAUGGCGGAGGUUCUCCGAUAAAGCCCGAACCUGGAAAAUGUAAAGGAGGGUUUCUUCAAAACAAUUACGAUGGGAACCUAGCAAGAUGUUUGAGUGAGGAAUACGUUACUACGACACAGCUGCCCGACCUUGAUCGAUGUAAGGGUGCAUUGCUUCAAUACUUUUACAGUGGGAACCUUGUAAAAUGUUUGCAGGAUAUUUUGUCACGUUUGAAACCACAUGCCUGACGACUUUGAAAUAUUGAUAGAUGCCAUGCUAAAUGUCCAUAACCAACAUAUUCCAGAAAGAAUACAAAAUUGCAGAAAAUGUCAAACAAAAAAAAAUAUGUUUCAUACAAUUAUAAUAAACUUAUACUGUUUUU